rnacentral:rRNA from 1 species
GGACUACUGGGGUUUCUAAUCCUGUUCGCUCCCCACGCUUUCGCUCCUCAGCGUCAGUACCGGCCCAGACCACCGCCUUCGCCACUGGUGUUCCUCCUGAUAUCUGCGCAUUUCACCGCUACACCAGGAAUUCCGUGAUCCCCUGCCGGACUCUAGCCAUAGCAGUAUCGGGUGCGACUCCAGGUUAAGCCUGGAGGUUUAACACGCCGACUUACUAAGCCGCCUACGAGCUCUUUACGCCCAAUAAAUCCGGACAACGCUCGCCCCCUACGUAUUACCGCGGCUGCUGGCAC